rnacentral:rRNA from 1 species
GAUGAACGCUAGCGGCAGGCCUAAUACAUGGCAAGUCGUACGGCAACACAGUUGCGAGCAAUCGCAACCGGUGGCGAGUGGCGCACGGGUGAGUAACGCGUAUGUAACCUACCCUUCUCCGGGACAUAACUCCGCGAAAGCGGUGCUAAUAUCCCAUACCAACUCAUCAAGACAUCUCUUGAGUUGAAAGCAGCAAUGCGGUGAAGGAUGGGCAUGCGUCCCAUUAGCUGGUUGGUGAGGUAAUGGCCCACCAAGGCUACGAUGGGUAGGGGUUCUGAGAGGAAAGCCCCCCACACUGGUACUGAGACACGGACCAGACUCCUACGGGAGGCAGCAGUAAGGAAUAUUGGGCAAUGGUCGAAAGACUGACCCAGCCAUGCCGCGUGCAGGAUGAAGGCCCUAUGGGUUGUAAACUGCUUUUAGCCGGGAAUAAACACCCGUUUUAUAACGGGCCCGAAGGUACCGGCUGAAUAAGCAUCGGCUAACUCCGUG